CUCUAGUAUAGUCCCAUCUAGGAAAAAGGAAAACUACUAUCUCGAUCACCCCAUCUUUAGCUAAGAGAGAGGAGAUCACGUAGUCAGGCUAAUCAGUAAUGAUACUUGAAGGAAGACGAAAACAUAAACAUCGUCUAACUCUGUGUCAGCAGCCGCGGUAAGACAGAGGAUGCAAGCGUUAUCCAGAAUGAUUGGGCGUAAAGCGUCUAUAGGUGGCUUUUUAAGUUCGCCGUCAAAUCCUAAGGCUCAACCCUGGUAGGCGGUGGAAACUACCAAGCUGGAGUAUGGUACGGGCACAGGGAAUUUUUGAUGGAGCAGUGAAAUGUGUAGAGAUCGGAAAGAACACCAACGGCGAAAGCACUCUGUUGGGCCGACAAACCCUGAACCCUAAACCGCUAAACAACCCCCCUA
rfam:Lupinus angustifolius cultivar Tanjil chromosome LG07, whole genome shotgun sequence.